rnacentral:lncRNA from 1 species
UGGGAAGAAUCAGCUUCUAGGACUAAAGAAAAUGAAACUCUUAAUUUAUAUAUCUUGGAUAACUCAUCUACUCUCUUCUUUUCUUUAUCUUUUUCACUCAAAUUAAAAUCAGCUUUAGUACCAGUUUCGGGCUAAGGUUUUUCUAUUGGAUUAGUGAUGCAUGUUGUAACACAUCAAAAUUAAUCCUACUCAUUAUGAUAUAGAUAGGGUGAGUCAGGAUCGUAUCCACAGGAAUCUUAGUUGAUUGUUUC